GAUGAACGCUGGCGGCGUGCCUAAUACAUGCAAGUCGAGCGAACGGACGAGAAGCUUGCUUCUCUGAUGUUAGCGGCGGACGGGUGAGUAACACGUGGAUAACCUACCUAUAAGACUGGGAUAACUUCGGGAAACCGGAGCUAAUACCGGAUAAUAUUUUGAACCGCAUGGUUCAAAAGUGAAAGACGGUCUUGCUGUCACUUAUGGAUGGAUCCGCGCUGCAUUAGCUAGUUGGUAAGGUAACGGCCUACCAAGGCAACGAUGCAUAGCCGACCUGAGAGGGUGAUCGGCCACACUGGAACUGAGACACGGUCCAGACUCCUACGGGAGGCAGCAGUAGGGAAUCUUCCGCAAUGGGCGAAAGCCUGACGGAGCAACGCCGCGUGAGUGAUGAAGGUCUUCGGAUCGUAAAACUCUGUUAUUAGGGAAGAACAUAUGUGUAAGUAACUGUGCACAUCUUGACGGUACCUAAUCAGAAAGCCACGGCUAACUACGUG
rnacentral:rRNA from 1 species